rnacentral:rRNA from 1 species
CUACGGGAUGCAGCAGCUAAGAAUCUUCCGCAAUGGACGAAAGUCUGACGGAGCGACGCCGCGUGAACGAUGAAGGCCGUGAGGUUGUAAAGUUCUUUUCCGAGGGGAGAAUAAGGAUGGCAGGGAAUGGCCGUCUGAUGACGUGAACUCGGGAAUAAGCCCCGGCUAACUACGUGCCAGCAGCCGCGGUAACACGUAGGGGGCGAGCGUUGUUCGGAAUCAUUGGGCGUGAAGGGUGCGCAGGCGGUGACGCAAGUCUGGUGUGAAAGAUCUCGGCUCAACCGAGGGAACGCGCUGGAAACUGUGUCACUAGAGUACAGGAGGGGGAGUUGGAAUUCCAGGUGUAGGGGUGAAAUCUGUAGAUAUCUGGAAGAACACCGGUGGCGAAGGCGAACUUCUGGCCAUGUACUGACGCUGAGGCACGAAGGCGUGGGGAGCAAACAGGAUUAGAUACCCCUGUAGUC